rnacentral:rRNA from 1 species
UCGAGAAUCUUCCGCAAUGGACGAAAGUCUGACGGAGCGACGCCGCGUGAUGGAUGAAGUCCCUCUGGGACGUAAACAUCUUUUAUGAGGGAGAAAGUUUAUUGAUAGUACCUCACGAAUAAGGGGUUGCUAAACUCGUGCCAGCAGCAGCGGUAAUACGAGCGCCCCGAGCGUUAUCCGGAAUCAUUGGGCGUAAAGGGUGUGUAGGUGGCAUUGUUAGUCACACGUUAAACCCUGGGGCUUAACCCCAGAUCUGCGUGUGAUACGGCAAAGCUAGAGGAUGGCAGGGAUGUAUGGAACUCAUGGAGUAGGGGUGAAAUCCGUUGAUAUCAUGGGGAACACCGAAAGCGAAGGCAGUACAUUGGGCCACUCCUGACACUGAAACACGAAAGCGUGGGUAGCGAAUGGGAUUAGAUACCCGCGUAGUCCCUGAGCGGGCUGGCAAGGCGCAU